rnacentral:rRNA from 1 species
UAGGGUCCUACGACGUACGAAGUUAGGGUACGACUACUGGGCUCAGGAUGAACGCUGGCGGCGUGCUUAACACAUGCAAGUCGAACGGAGAUAGCGGAGAGCUUGCUUUCUGCUAUCUUAGUGGCGGACGGGUGAGUAACGCGUGGGUAACCUACCCUGUACAGGGGGAUAGCAGCUGGAAACGGCUGAUAAAACCGCAUAAAACGGCAGUACCGCAUGGUACAACCGUCAAAUAUUCAUAGGUACAGGAUGGGCCCGCGUCUGAUUAGCCAGUUGGUGGGGUAACGGCCUACCAAAGCGACGAUCAGUAGCCGGCCUGAGAGGGUGAACGGCCACAUUGGGACUGAGACACGGCCCAAACUCCUACGGGAGGCAGCAGUGGGGAAUAUUGGACAAUGGGGGAAACCCUGAUCCAGCGACGCCCGCGUGAGUGAAGAAGUAUCUCGGUAUGUAAAGCUCUAUCAGCAGGGAAGAUGAUGACGGUACCUGACUAAGAAGCACCGGCUAAAUACGUGCCAGCCGCCGC